CGCAAGCCUGACGGAGCAACGCCGCGUGAGGGAGGAAGGCCUGUGGGUUGUAAACCUCUUUUCUCAGGGAAGAAGAUCUGACGGUACCUGAGGAAUCAGCAUCGGCUAACUCCGUGCCAGCAGCCGCGGUAAGACGGAGGAUGCAAGCGUUAUCCGGAAUUAUUGGGCGUAAAGCGUCCGUAGGCGGCUAAUCAAGUCUGCUGUCAAAGCCCACAGCUCAACUGUGGAGAGGCAGUGGAAACUGAAUAGCUAGAGUGUGGUAGGGGCAGAGGGAAUUCCUGGUGUAGCGGUGAAAUGCGUAGAUAUCAGGAAGAACACCAGUGGCGUAGGCGCUCUGCUGGGCCAUAACUGACGCUGAUGGACGAAAGCUAGGGGAGCG
rnacentral:rRNA from 1 species